rnacentral:rRNA from 1 species
AUUGAACGCUGGCGGCAGGCCUAACACAUGCAAGUCGAGCGAGCGGCGGACGGGUGAGUAAUGUAUGGGGACUGCCCGAUAGAGGGGGAUAACUACUGGAAACGGUGGCUAAUACCGCAUACUGUUGGAUAACCCAUAUGGGAUUAGCUAGUAGGUAAGGUAAUGGCUUACCUAGGCGACGAUCCCUAGCUGUUCUGAGAGGAUGAUCAGCCACCCUGGAACUUAGACACGGCCCAUACUCCUACGGAGGCAGCAGUGGGGAAUAGUGCACAAGGGGCGCAAGCCUGAUGCAGCCAUGCCGCGUGUAUGAAGAAGGCCCUAGGGUUGUAAAGUACUUUCAGUCGUGAGGCGUUACCGACAGAAGAAGCACCGGCUAACUCCGUUCCAGCAGCCGCGGUAAUUC